AGAGUUUGAUCCUGGCUCAGGACGAACGCUGGCGGCGUGCCUAAUACAUGCAAGUAGAACGCUGAAGAGAGGAGCUUGCUCUUCUUGGAUGAGUUGCGAACGGGUGAGUAACGCGUAGGUAACCUGCCUUGUAGCGGGGGAUAACUAUUGGAAACGAUAGCUAAUACCGCAUAACAAUGGAUGACACAUGUCAUUUAUUUGAAAGGGGCAAUUGCUCCACUACAAGAUGGACCUGCGUUGUAUUAGCUAGUAGGUGAGGUAAUGGCUCACCUAGGCGACGAUACAUAGCCGACCUGAGAGGGUGAUCGGCCACACUGGGACUGAGACACGGCCCAGACUCCUACGGGAGGCAGCAGUAGGGAAUCUUCGGCAAUGGGGGCAACCCUGACCGAGCAACGCCGCGUGAGUGAAGAAGGUUUUCGGAUCGUAAAGCUCUGUUGUAAGUCAAGAACGGGUGUGAGAGUGGAAAGUUCACACUGUGACGGUAGCUUACCAGAAAGGGACGGCUAACUACGUGCCAGCAGCCGCGGUAAUACGUAGGUCCCGAGCGUUGUCCGAAUUUAUUGGGCGUAAAGCGAGCGCAGGCGGUUUGAUAAGUCUGAAGUUAAAGGCUGUGGCUCAACCAUAGUUCGCUUUGGAAACUGUCAAACUUGAGUGCAGAAGGGGAGAGUGGAAUUCCAUGUGUAGCGGUGAAAUGCGUAGAUAUAUGGAGGAACACCGGUGGCGAAAGCGGCUCUCUGGUCUGUAACUGACGCUGAGGCUCGAAAGCGUGGGGAGCGAACAGGAUUAGAUACCCUGGUAGUCCACGCCGUAAACGAUGAGUGCUAGGUGUUGGAUCCUUUCCGGGAUUCAGUGCCGCAGCUAACGCAUUAAGCACUCCGCCUGGGGAGUACGACCGCAAGGUUGAAACUCAAAGGAAUUGACGGGGGCCCGCACAAGCGGUGGAGCAUGUGGUUUAAUUCGAAGCAACGCGAAGAACCUUACCAGGUCUUGACAUCCCGAUGCUAUUUCUAGAGAUAGAAAGUUACUUCGGUACAUCGGUGACAGGUGGUGCAUGGUUGUCGUCAGCUCGUGUCGUGAGAUGUUGGGUUAAGUCCCGCAACGAGCGCAACCCCUAUUGUUAGUUGCCAUCAUUCAGUUGGGCACUCUAGCGAGACUGCCGGUAAUAAACCGGAGGAAGGUGGGGAUGACGUCAAAUCAUCAUGCCCCUUAUGACCUGGGCUACACACGUGCCACAAUGGUUGGUACAACGAGUUGCGAGUCGGUGACGGCGAGCUAAUCUCUUAAAGCCAAUCUCAGUUCGGAUUGUAGGCUGCAACUCGCCUACAUGAAGUCGGAAUCGCUAGUAAUCGCGGAUCAGCACGCCGCGGUGAAUACGUUCCCGGGCCUUGUACACACCGCCCGUCACACCACGAGAGUUUGUAACACCCGAAGUCGGUGAGGUAACCUUUUGGAGCCAGCCGCCUAAGGUGGGACAGAUGAUUGGGGUGAAGUCGUAACAAGGUA
rnacentral:rRNA from 1 species